CAUGGCUGUCGUCAGCUCGUGUUGUGAAAUGUUGGGCUAAGUCCCGCAACGAGCGCAACCCUUAUCCUUGUUGCCAGCGAGUAAUGUCGGGAACUCAAAGGAGACUGCCGGUGAUAAACCGGAGGAAGGUGGGAUGACGUCAAGUCAUCAUGGCCCUUACGAGUAGGGCUACACACGUGCUACAAUGGCAUAUACAAAGAGAAGCGAACUCGCGAGAGCAAGCGGACCUCAUAAAGUAUGUCGUAGUCCGGAUUGGAGUCUGCAACUCGACUCCAUGAAGUCGGAAUCGCUAGUAAUCGUAGAUCAGAAUGCUACGGUGAAUACGUUCCCGGGCCUU
rnacentral:rRNA from 1 species